UGAGGGUCGGUUUCUGGUUGAAUCAAUCAUCAAAAUACGUUUAAACAUAUUUUCUCUGCCUAAAAAGAUACAUAUUAUAAAGAGAUGGUUUUAAAAUAUAUAUUUUAACGUUUACAAUGAAAUUUUAGAUAAUAAUGAUAAAUUCUAAAUUUGAAAAAAAAUUAAAUAUAUUUAUUGAAAUCUUAUUAACAUCAUGAGGAAUAUAUACAAUCACAUAAAAUAUUGCAUAUGCAUUUAUAAUCAAAAUUUACUAUUAUAUAGUUCUAAUAUAUCCUAAAAUUUACUAAUAUAUACUUCUACGAUAAACUAAUAUACAGUUUUUAAAACAUAGUGAGUAUUGAUAUUAUAAGCUAGGGGCUAAC
rnacentral:lncRNA from 1 species